CCUACGGGAGGCAGCAGUAAGGAAUAUUGGUCAAUGGACGAAAGUCUGAACCAGCCAUGCCGCGUGAAGGAUUAAGGCCCUCUGGGUUGUAAACUUCUUUUAUCUGGGACGAAAAAAGGGUAUUCUUACUCACUUGACGGUACCAGAGGAAUAAGCACCGGCUAACUCCGUGCCAGCAGCCGCGGUAAUACGGAGGGUGCAAGCGUUAUCCGGAUUUACUGGGUUUAAAGGGUGCGUAGGUGGGCUUGUAAGUCAGUGGUGAAAUCUCCGGGCUUAACCCGGAAACUGCCAUUGAUACUAUAGGUCUUGAAUUAUCUGGAGGUAAGCGGAAUAUGUCAUGUAGCGGUGAAAUGCUUAGAUAUGACAUAGAACACCAAUUGCGAAGGCAGCUUACUACGGAUAUAUUGACACUGAGGCACGAAAGCGUGGGGAUCAAACAGGAUUAGAUAACCCUGGUAGUCCACGCCUAAACGAAUGGAUAACUCGACAACUACANACGANACUACUACGUUAGGUUGGUUCGUUGUAGACGGAAAGGAACGAAUAAAGUUAAAUUACCUAACCCUACCGGUAAGGUAACGGUAAGUACGCGAACGAAGUAAGUAAACGUAACAAACGAAAAGUAAAGUAAGGACGAGAGAGAGACGACGACGACGACAAGGAGGAGGAGG
rnacentral:rRNA from 1 species